CACCCGCUUGGCCUGGAACGCAGAACCCUGAAGUGGGGUAGGGGGGAAUCAUCCAGGCCUCACUGCUGCCUCCGGGAUGCCUCAUACGUCCCCAAGCGCGUCCCGGGCUGCAGACCAGAUCCCGCUGCUGGUGACGCCUGGCCCCAAUCCAGCGUCACUCUGCUGAGGCUGAAUCCGGCCCCGGGCAACUGUCAGCAGUUUCUAAGAGGCCGAGUUUCUAGCAGGGCAGCUGUGAGAGGAGGAAACAAGCCAACGCCGAGUCUGUCCCGCCGUGGCUUCCCCUCUAUCUGCGUUCCCGUGGAAAUGUCAAGGGGCCGGGCAGGGAAUUCACUGGAUUUGCUGCAACUUGCCAGAGGUGCCUUUGUGAGCAGAAGGUCCCUGUGACUCACUCGCUUUCUAUUUCCUCUGGAUGGGCGCAGGAAACCAGCCCUGCCAGAAAAAUGCUAAUAUUAGCCCCGCCGUGCGCACAUCUUCGCUGAGGGAGCGUUAUUUAUACGCUGUGGAGAUGCUAGUGUCUGUCUUAUCAGAAGCACCCUACCUCCAUCCUCUCCGCAUGUCCCCUCGACCUCUGGGGUACCCUCUCGCUGCACGUCAGACCCAAUGACUGGGGGGCAACAGGACAGUCUCUACAGAGGCAGAGUUGUCUAGUGGUUAGAACAACAUGCUGGGAGUCAGGCACCUUCAGUUCUACUCCCGGCUCUGCCACGUCCCUUGAGCAAGUCACUUCCCUUCUGCGUACCUCAGUUUCCCCUCCCAUUCUUUGUCUAUUUAGAUUGCAAGCCUUUCGAAGAGGAGAUUGUCCUGGCACAAUGGGGUCCUGAUCUCUGUUCACACUACCGUUAAUGCAAAUAGGCACCAACAAACCAGGACACCUCACCCAUUUCAUCCGGGACAGCUCCCUUGCAAAAGGGACACUGCUGGGAAAACCUGGACAGGUGGCAGCUCUAAAUGCAAAUCCUCCUCAUUAAUAACGAGGUCGACUGCAGCAAAUACAUUUGAGAAAGGGUCCUGCUAACGCAUCAGCUAAAGGAGGGAUCCCCGCCCCCGCAAACAGCAGUCAGGUUUGGGUGCCUGCCGUCACACCUGAUUGCAGCAAACCUCCCAAGCAGAGCUGGGUGACAUGGACGUUUGCUCUGCAUGACCCGGACUGUGCUGAGCCUGCCAGUUGGUGGAGGCUAGUCAUGGGACCGAGCCCGGUCAAACCACUGCCCAUCAGCUAUCAGGUGAUAACUGGAGACACUCACCCCAUACCUGGGCUGGAUUCAUACCUGGAUGGCAACAGCGGGGCCCGGUGUUAAGAACGAAGCCGGACCGGCUGCCAUGACAGCCGUGCAAUUGGCCAGCUGGGGGGACGGGCUCGGACAGUCCUCAGCGAGGGAAAACCUAUGGGACUUCUUAACAACAGAGAGGACAUGCCAAGAGCAGCCCAGGGUGGACGGGUGGCGGCGCCUUCUUUGUGUCCUAAGCCUUUGUGUCCUUAAAAUUGCUCUGUGAAACUGGGGAAUCCCUGUGGGAACAGCCCUCCCCCAGGGGCUCUGGCCCAGGGCACCACAAUAUGCUUAGACACGAGGCUCUGUAGCAUCGCAGGACCACGACCACGCUGCCCGGCUUUAUUCCAAGCGUCUGAAAGCACCACCGGGUUAUUGCUAAACUACUGCAGCCGGGUUAAUCACAGGUGACCGCGGGGCCCGCCGCCAGUCCAUGACCAGGCAGCGUCUCCUCCUGACCUCAAGUCUGGCCUGACAUGUGCUGGGCUCUUUGCGGCCGAGGCGGGCAACGUGACCCAAAAGAGCCGGCCAACAGCGGCCAGUGAUGAGUUCCGUCCUCUUGAGGCCAGUUCUUAAUGGUACGUCCCUAUUCCUGACAACAUCAACCUGUCUGGUACUCAGUGGUCACCUCCUGAUGUCUUGCUGAAGAAGGGUCCAGGUUGCAGACCCACGGAGCCGCUAAACCAACUCCCCUUAGGAUGUCUGGCAGACGGCCCCCUUGGAGGACCGUUUCCUGCCUGGAUAGAUGAGGACGUCCCCUGCUGCCGCGGUGCCGCCGGAAGCACCGAGCUCUGCCUCACGCCUUUUGUGCCAACGUGCUGGGGUUUUGGUUUCGCCCAGAAACCUUUAGCCCCAAGGCAGCUGCCUCGUGCUGGAAGCUCUCUGCUGCGUCUUUGAGAUCGCCUGCGUCCUGACCAAAGAGGACGCCACCGUCGCAUAACCCAGGCUGGUAAAAGAGGUCAAACCAACGGUUCUCUCAAUAUUUGCAGGGAUACGUCCAAGGAGCCAGUCCACUGCACAACGGAUCCAGGCUGCGGCCAGGACAUCCCUGCAUCACCCUGGAUCUAGCAUGUGGGUUCCCCAACGCACCCGUGUCCUGAGUCAUUAGCUAGAGUUUGAAUUUGUCUCAGCCGGCUCUCUCGGACGAAUCAAAGGCUGCCUUUAGAUCUACGUAUGCGGCUGUCAAAGGCCAGUUAAAUCCACGGUGGAGCGCAGACAGGGCCCCAGCAGGAGAGAAUUCCCCUUGGCUUUCCUGCCGGGACCAUCCCAAAGGCGGUGGCAGCCCUGGGGAUGCACACCCCUGUGCACAACCCAGAGCGCCAACCACGUCCUCCUGCUGCCAGACGGUUCCAGCAGUCUGAGCCCAGACGGACGCCAGACGCUGACCCAACCCCUGAGCCACAAGGCAAAGUCGCCCCGAGUCGUCGGGUCCCUGGCCUAGGGGCACCUCUCCCAGCACUGAGUCCCCCCAUCCCACUGGCCUGUAUCCCACCUGUUAGUCCUCGGCCGCACCCUGGUGGGUGGAGGGCUCACGCCCGAGGCUCUGCUCUGAGCAGGUGAAGCAGCUGCCUGCCGGAUGUGGAAGGACCUCAGAAGUGCCAAGCAAAGUGUCUUCUGCUUCGCACAGCCGACAGCCAAGGGGAACCCCAGACUGCAGGCCCGGAGCCAAGAACCAGGGGGAGGGGGCAGCACAGACGGAAGGGGAGCGAACCUUCGGAGACCCUGACUCCCAGCGGGGGCUGGGAGCAGCCUGAGCCAGUUUUUUCAAAUGCUUUUAAUUGCUUUGUUCUAUUUUUGGCAAGGGAAUUUGCUGGACGAUGAGCGGCUUUGACUUGAUGUGCAAUUACCUGGGGCUGGGGGGACCCACUGGUGCGAGAGACUCACCAUCCCUUAGCCUCCCCCCCCACAGUUCCCGUCUACCCUCCUCUCUAAAACAGUGCUUGGGAGAGGGGUCCCAUGCACAGCCCAGGCACAAGGGCUUUAUUCGCCAUCCCAAAUGCUUCCUGGGAGUGAAAAAACACUCGGUUCCAGGGAGAAAUGGGAGAAAUUAGAAGGCCCUGCCAGGGGGAGAGGGUGACAGAUGGGGCUGGGAAAGAGAUGUAGAGAGGCUGGAGCUGGGGAAAGACACGGACAGGCAGCAACUGUUGCAGAGGAGAAGGCGCUUGUGCCAGCAGCAGUGAGGGAUGCAGAAGAAAGUGGCACUGAUGCUGUGAGAAGAGGAGAGAGAGAGAGAGACAAGGGGCCUGGUUUCCCAGUGCCCUGCAUCUCGUGCGAUUAUUUAUACUGCCAGCCCGAUGGUUGCAGUGCACUGGAAGAGGGUGGUAUCCCUUUAAAUAGCUUGUGGACCCCUUGACAGCACUCACCAUGUUUUAUGUCUCCAAAGGCGCCAGCCGCCCGGAAGAGCAGCAGUGUGUAUGCGGCGCUAGGCUCGGCACACUGCGGGUAGUCAGCAAACAGGGCCCUUGUCGUGCCGUGGGGUUCCUUCACAUUAUCAUCGUCAUUGUGUACAAGAGCAAAAAGACCCAACCAUGUUGUAGGGACACCAUUCUCCACUGCCCUGCAAAGAGACGGUCAUUGACAGCGGUGCCAAGUGUGUGUGUGUGGGGGGGACACCCUGUCUAGACUGAAUGCACUCUCGUGGCACUGGUGCAAUGCUGCCAGCCCUGAGCUUUUGAAAAUCAGGAGUCAGGCCCCCAAAAUCACAAGACUGACUUAAAAUCACGGGAUUUUUUAAAAAAAAAAAAGAUACACGUUUUAGGCUCUCUUAUUUCCUUUCCGGGUUUAGGGUUCACAUUUUAAAGUUUUUUUCCAGAACCACAAGGACUUAGACAUUUGCUUUUGCUUUUUUAAAGGGAAGUCAAUGUUCUCCCAAAAUCACGGGAAUCUGGGAGCUGGGGCUUUCAGAAAAAGGUCACAAGAAUGACGAUCAUUGUACACCGACCACAGUGCCAUAACAUGUGACCCGAGGGGCAUGAUUCUGAGUGGCCCUGGAUCCUGUGCUGAGGUUUUAUGAGUUAUUCAGGUAACGAUAUGUUUUCUAGUACAAGAGUUUUCCCUGGGAAGCAUCCCUUUAAAAGCAGAGGUGACUCCCAGGUGCUGCUCUAGGGCUUGCCUGUACUAAGCAAAUUGGCAUUGGUAUAACGGUGUUGAAGUGGUAAGAUCAGACUAAAUGCCUCCAGCAGAGGGGGUGGGAAAUUUUUCUUGGAAACCUAUUUUUAGCCAAAACCGCCGUUUUUAUCAAAAUCAAGACAUUGGGGGGGGGGAGGAGUGUCAGUUUUAAUCAAAUUUAGUUUAUAAAGAAAAACCCUGAAGCAUUUCAAUAACGUCAAAGCGUCCAGUUUCACCAUUGCCUGGACAAAAAGUUGUGAUUUUUUGCUUAGAAACUAAAGCCAUGGAGAUUUUUUAAAAAAUCUAAAUAAACAUUUUUAAAAAAGGUUUAAAAGGCCAAAAGCAAAAUGAAAUGUUUUGCCGGACCUGCAAGACGAAGCACAUUCAAACAGGAGCGAUUUGGGGGAAGACCCUGUGGCCUGUAUGAUACGGGAGGUCAGCCUCCUCUUUCCCCCCCGC